rnacentral:tRNA from 1 species
GAGGAUAUAGCUAAGUGGUUAGAGUACAUGCUUAGUGCAUGAGAUCCUGGGUUCAAUCCCCAGCACCGCCA